rnacentral:rRNA from 1 species
ACGGGAGGCAGCAGUGAGGAAUAUUGGUCAAUGGGCGGAAGCCUGAACCAGCCAAGUCGCGUGAAGGAGGAAGGUAUUAUGUAUUGUAAACUUCUUUAGCAGGGGAGCAAUAGUCGCCACGCGUGGCGUUACGAGAGUACCCUGAGAAUAAGCAUCGGCUAACUCCGUGCCAGCAGCCGCGGUAAUACGGAGGAUGCGAGCGUUAUCCGGAUUUAUUGGGUUUAAAGGGUGCGCAGGCGGUCGUUUAAGUCAGUGGUAAAAUCGUGAGGCUCACCCUCAUCCCGCCAUUGAUACUGGAUGACUUGAUUUCGGCCGAGGUAGGCGGAAUUCGUCGUGUAGCGGUGAAAUGCAUAGAUAUGACGAAGAACCCCGAUUGCGUAGGCAGCUUACCAGACCGACAAUGACGCUCAUGCACGAAAGUGCGGGGAUCGAACAGGAUUAGAUACCCUGGUA